GACCGGAGGGAUUCCAUACGAAAGUGGCGGACCCGGACAAAGUGAUUCAGCGCCUUCAGGUCCAGGAAAGGACGGAGCGAACCGUCCUUCUUGGGAACCGUGAACAGAUUCGAAUAGAACCCCCGAAAACGUUCUGAUUCUGGAACCGGAACUAUGACCCCUAGAGAGCGAAGGGAACGAAUGGCCUGAAAAAAACCUUCUGCCCUGGAGGGGGACCUGGGGGGCGACGUCAGGAAGAACCGACUGGGUGGGAGG